CAGCUCUGAGUUGUUUCUUUUGAAAAUGAUUGCUUGAUGAUAAAGUUUCAAACAACUAUGAAGUGAGUGGAUGUUCUAGAGAGACUAAUUCUUCAAAGAAUGAAUGAUCAUCAUCAUCCUUAUAUUGGAAUAAAAGGAAGGAAGUGACAGCUACAGUCAUGGUAAAAGUAAAUGCAGUCAGAAGACCUCUGAUAUCACCUGAAGAGUCAGCCUUCUCAAGAUUCUGUCAAAUAAAAAUAACAAGGACUGCUUAAAAGACUUUUUAUAAGUUGCAAAUGUGCAGUCUGUGACAUAACUGUCUGAUCCAGGUAGUUUAGUGUUGUCAAGAUGACAUUUCAUCUCUAUAGUAGAGGACACAAGUUUGAAAUGCAGUAUGUCAUUGUGAAGGCAAAAUGUUUAUGAAAAUAGUGUGUGUGUUUUCCAAAUAGAGAGGCUGAAAGUAGGGAAUCAUCAAUUAGUGUUUUUGGAAUAAGUUAUGGA